CGCAUGGUGGCUUAGUGGUUAGCACGUUCGCCUCACAUCACACCUCCAAGGUCUGGGGUUCGAUUCCCGCCGGGGUGG